GAUGAACGCUGGCGGCGUGCCUAAUACAUGCAAGUCGAGCGAACAGACGAGGAGCUUGCUCCUCUGACGUUAGCGGCGGACGGGUGAGUAACACGUGGAUAACCUACCUAUCAGACUGGGAUAACUUCGGGAAACCGGAGCUAAUACCGGAUAAUAUAUUGAACCGCAUGGUUCAAUAGUGAAAGACGGUUUUGCUGUCACUUAUAGAUGGAUCCGCGCCGCAUUAGCUAGUUGGUAAGGUAACGGCUUACCAAGGCAACGAUGCGUAGCCGACCUGAGAGGGGGAUCGGCCACACUGGAACUGAGACACGGUCCAGACUCCUACGGGAGGCAGCAGUAGGGAAUCUUCCGCAAUGGGCGAAAGCUUGACGGAGCAACGCCGCGUGAGUGAUGAAGGUCUUCGGAUCGUAAAACUCUGUUAUUAGGGAAGAACAAAUGUGUAAGUAACUAUGCACGUCUUGACGGUACCUAAUCAGAAAGCCACGGCUAACUACGUG
rnacentral:rRNA from 1 species